UUUGGUACGAAAAUAUAAAAACCCUUAGUACAAAAGUAAGGAAACAAGUACUACGUAGUAUAAUGAGUUGUUGCCGCGCGCCAAAAAAACACAAUAAACAAUUAUAUCACUCCUUCCUAAAAAACAUAAAAUUACAUCACUCCUUAUUUUCGUGCUACUCGAUACUCUUCAUCCAUCCUCACCAAAAGAAACGAAAAACAAAGGGAAAACGAAGCCAGAACAGUUCAAUUCAGAACUUCAGAUCAAACCAUCGUCGUCCUCAUCUGUCGCCGUUGCGCCAUCCAUCUCCUCCCCGACCUGAGUUCGAUGCUAAGGCUAGGAGAGAAUUUGACCAAAAAGCUGGGGACCGACUUAGGGGCACAUUGAACCAAGUUUAAAAAAUAGCUCUCCAUAAGCAAGUUAGUUUCAUGACUGACACUGUUCGAGCUGAAUUCAUAAAUAAGCGUAAGCAUCCUGAUUUUGUAAAACGUUCUAACCAAGCAAGAGAUAAUCGGUUAUCUGGCCAAACAUUAGAGAAGUUUGACCCUGGCCAUCGCCAAGGUGGCGUAUCUACUCCUCAAGUGGUUAAAAAAAUGGCAAAGAAAAAGAAUGGAAUUUUACCAACUGCUGCAUGCUGAAGUCUAUGAGAGCACUCAUUCUGCUUGUGUGGGCAAUGAUGAAGUUGAAUUGAUGGGUGACAAUUCUCAAAAAGUCAUGGAGAAUAUAUGGAAAAACUUGAGGAAUAUAAGAACAAAGGAAUUGAGAUAAACCCCGACAAAGUCUACUUAGAGGUUGUAGGUGGGAAAAAGAAAGGAAAAGUCUACGGUUUAGGGAGUGCUUCACAAAUAUAUUACAAGAGCGAUCCUACUUCUCAAUCUACUGCAUCAUCUUCCACUCCUUCCAUGAUUUCUCAAUUAAGUUCUCAAGUUGAAGAACUAAAGAAGAUGGCGGAAGAAAACCAUAACAAGGUGGAAGAAAGCCAAAAAAUAGCGGUAGAGAGCUUAAAAUGUGCUAAGGAAUUCGUCGAAAAUCAUGAGAUCGAAAAAGCUACAUGGAAGAAGGAAAAAUUAGCUAUGCAAAAAACAUUGCAGGAAAUGGCAUCACUUGUAAAACAAGUUUACCGUCCUUAUAAGCCUCCUACGCCUGCAGUCACCCGCUCUCGUGAUACAACUAAGUGAUUUUUAUUUUUUUGGUGGUAAUUUUAUGAACUCGUCUUUUACAUUGUCAUUACUUCUUAUUUGAAGCAUCAUUUUUUAUAUGGGAGGUGACUUUUGGAACAAUUAGUCAUAUGAGUUAAAUAUUGUUUUUUAAUACAUUGAUACAAAAUUGAUUAUAUUUUGGAUAUUUGAAUAAAAUUAACAUUUUGGUUAUUUGAAUUUA